GGUCGAGUGGCGCAAUUGGUUAGCGCGUGGAGCUAAUAGACCAUGUUUCUGUGACUCCAAGGCUGCGAGUUCGACCCUCGUCUUGACCA
rnacentral:tRNA from 1 species